UACAGAGGGGGCAAGCGUUGUUCGGAAUUACUGGGCGUAAAGGGCGCGUAGGCGGCCUUCUAAGUCGAACGUGAAAUCCCCGGGCUCAACCCGGGAACUGCGUCCGAUACUGGAAGGCUUGAAUCCGGGAGAGGGAUGCGGAAUUCCAGGUGUAGCGGUGAAAUGCGUAGAUAUCUGGAGGAAUACCGGUGGCGAAGGCGGCAUCCUGGACCGGCAUUGACGCUGAGUGAGCGAAAGCCAGGGGAGCAAACGGG
rnacentral:rRNA from 1 species